AUAUCUGGAAUUUGCUUUGAAAUACUUCAACCAAAAUAAUCAAAUGAAGCAAAUAUUGUACAAUACAGACAAUUGUUAAAUGUAGGUAAUCUAUGUAGAGAUGUCCAUCAUAUUCUUUUCUCUAGUUUUCUGUGCACUUAAAAUUGUCAUAUUACAUUGAAGAUACAUUAAGGAAAAAAUGAUGGAAAAAAAGGAUGAAUUAGUCAAGACAACUGUAAUUAAAGAGAAGAGCCAACUGCAAAUCAAGACUUCAUAUCCUGUGAUUUCAGAGAGCCUUAUACUCAUCUUUCUGGGGUUCCAAAAUGAUCCGCUAAUAUCACUCACUGGAGAAGAAGAAAAUCUGCAAUGUAAUCUUGUUACUUUAAGAAGCAGGAAAUUAUGAGUGAGUGUAGGUCUGUAAUCACAGAAUUUAUGAGCAAAAACUAAUUUCCAUUGAUUUCUUAUAUCUUGAAAGAAUUGUAUGAUGUGUAAACAAAUAGAAGUUUAUAAGUAAAGUCA